GAUGAACGCUGACAGAAUGCUUAACACAUGCAAGUCUACUUGAACUUCGGUUUGGGUGGCGGACGGGUGAGUAACGCGUAAAGAACUUGCCUCACAGUUAGGGACAACAUUUGGAAACGAAUGCUAAUACCUGAUAUUAUGAUUUUAGGGCAUCCUAGGAUUAUGAAAGCUAUAUGUGCUGUGAGAGAGCUUUGCGUCCCAUUAGCUAGUUGGAGAGGUAACGGCUCACCAAGGCGAUGAUGGGUAGCCGGCCUGAGAGGGUGAACGGCCACAAGGGGACGGAGACACGGCCCUUACUCCUACGGGAGGCAGCAGUGGGGAAGAAUGGACAAUGGACCAAAAGUCUGAUCCAGCAAUUCUGUGUGCACGAUGACGUUUGUCGGAAUGUAAAGUGCUUUCAGUUGGGAAGAAAAAAAUGACGGUACCAACAGAAGAAGUGACGGCUAAAUACGUG
rnacentral:rRNA from 1 species